CACAAAAAUUUAACUAUAACCACUGAACCAUGAAAAUGAGGUCAAGGUCAGAUGACACCUGCCAGUUGGACAUGUACACCUUACAGUCCUUCCAUACACCGAAUAUACUAGCCCUAUUGCUUAUAGUAUCUGAGAUAUGGACUUGACCACCAAAACUUAACCUUGUUCACUGAUCCAUGAAAUGAGGUCGAAGUCAAGUGAAAACUGUCUGACAGACACGAGGACCUUGCAAGGUACGCACAUAUCAAAUAUAGUUAUCCUAUUACUUAUAAUAAGAGAGAAUUCAACAUUACAAAAAAUUUGAACUUUUUUUUCAAGUGGUCACUGAACCAUGAAAAUGAGGUCAAGGACAUUGGACAUGUGACUGACAGAAACUUCGUAACAUGAAGCAUCUAUAUAUAAAGU
rnacentral:lncRNA from 1 species